GGGUAUAUAGCUCAAGAGCACAUGCUUAGUAUGCACAAAGUCCUGGGUUCAAUUCCCAAUAUCUUCA
rnacentral:tRNA from 1 species